rnacentral:rRNA from 1 species
CCUGGUGGCGAGUGGCGAACGGGUGAGUAAUACAUCGGAACGUACCCAGAAGUGGGGGAUAACGUAGCGAAAGUUACGCUAAUCCCGCAUACGUUCUACGGAAGAAAGUGGGGGAUCGCAAGACCUCAUGCUUUUGGAGCGGCCGAUGUCUGAUUAGCUAGUUGGUGAGGUAAAGGCUCACCAAGGCGACGAUCAGUAGCUGGUCUGAGAGGCCGCCAGCCACACUGGAACUAGAGACUCGGUCCAGACUCCUACGGGAGGCAGCAGUGGGGAAUUUUGGACAAUGGGCGCAAGCCUGAUCCAGCAAUGCCGCGUGAGUGAAGAAGGCCUUCGGGUUGUAAAGCUCUUUUGUCAGGGAAGAAACGGCAGUGGCUAAUAUCCUUUGCUAAUGACGG